GAAUCCUGCAGGAAAGGCAGAGAGAUGAUCAGACUGCAGGUUUAAAAUGCGUUCAUCUUUCAUGGGCCUUUCACCAGACUGGGACUUUUUCUUUUCUUCUUGCCUGAAAAGUCAAAAAGAAACAAUGAGAAGGAUGCCAUGAUGACAAUGUCUGAAGUAUUUGAAGCCUGACGUGAAAUUCUUUAGAAAAAAAAUGUGCAAAACCUGGGAUAAUACUGCAGCUCUUUGCUUGUGUGUACCAUGGAGUUUGCCUUAUAUGAUCAUUAGUAUUCAUCUUGAUUGCCGUGUUCCUUGGCAAAUAAAAGAUAUUUUUUUUCUGUGUAAUCCCAAUGCCCAGAUACAGAAUCAGUGGGAUGGUGAUGUAUUAAUUAACAUUAGUUGCUCUGUGUGAGCAUAAAUUGAUAGCAGCAUGUGCGGCCUAAAAGUAAGGCAUUCCAGAGACAUUAUUGGAUAGUCUUCCUUUCACCCCCUUCUAUUGUAGCCAAUUUUCUGUCCUCUGGAAUUUACAUUUUAUCUGGUUUUACAUACUUUCACCCAACUGGCCCAAUUUACUCACACAUUCUCCAUGUAGGUUACACCAUGUUACAGAGAGACUCAUUUAAUAUCCAACUUUCUCUUUUAUUCAACAUUGCCCUUGAAUUUAGCUUAGUAAGGUCAAAUUGUAGAGUUGUUUUUCUGUCAUGAGCAGCUGUGAUUCUCUGGCUAAAUUCAGAGCUAAAGGAAGUGUUGGAUCUUCCAAGGAAUGUACACAAUUGUGUAGCCAUGUUAGAUCUGCUAGGAGCAGCUGGCAAAGGAUAGUUUUAUAAAAUGUCUUUUUAUGUUGCAGUGGUGCAACAUGACAAUUGCUUUUAUUGGAAACCAAAUAAAGACCCCAAAUGACCCAGAGCAGAGUGCACUGGGGCACUGUCCACUGAUUCUGCAGCUGUCAUUCUGUCAGUGGCAGGACUAGUUUUACAGACAAGUUGCUUUUUGAAAAGGGAUGUUUUACAACUGAACUCUUUCCUUGUAUCUUGGGUGGUUUCAGUAUAAGACACACUUCUCAAGAAGCUGGCAGAUGGGGAAGAAGGAAGAAGUACCUUCUGAUGCUAAACCCACCAAUUUGCCUUUAAAAAGUGUCUGUAUUAAGGAUCCAAGGAUCCAAACACUUCUUUCAUCUUGGGAGAGAUGGCUUUUGCCUGCCUUGUUAGCUUUAUCUCUGCUUAUAGGAAACUCUCUGUGAUAAUAAGUUUUCUUCAGUGCAGCCAGAAUAGAGGUCCCCAAAUCCUUAGGAACUGGAUGAAGGAGAAAUAUGACCUGUGUCACAUUCUGAAAUGUGACUGUGAACUCAAGUAAGGGACACGGUUAAGCUUGGCUUCUCAUUUCCAAUUACUUUUCCUGACACUCCCUGAACCCCUCUGCUCCGUGUGUCAUGCUAUCUGGUUAGGAUAAUGCUUCCUUAUCUUCUUUGAGACUGUGAUUAUACUGAGAUUAAUUUUUAACACUAUAUUGUAAAUCUAAAAAUUGUGUGCUGUCACUGAAGCUAAUUGAGGACAUGGUUUAUUUCUAUUUGCACUGUAUGAGGGCAUUGCAUUCCAAAGGAUAUAGGAGAAUAUAACAGUACAGUUAUAAGUAAAUACUUGAUGAUUAAAUCUUGUCCGUGAGAAUAAACAACAAAAUCUUUCCUUACAUGCAAAUCCAGAUUCUUGUAAAUACAAUUAAAGGAAAUAUAGCAAGAGGUUUAACAUCCGGAAGCAGCAGCAGCUGCUUCUAUGUUAACAUUGUAAAUAGUUGCUUAUUUCCAGAGUAAUAUUCAUUCCUCUUCUAAAUGUAGUCUUGUGCCAGUCAUCUACAUGAUUCCAAAAAGCUGCCAAUCCCAUAGAUUUUCAGAUGCCACACCACAUCAUAACAGAAACUCCAAGAGAGAAAGGAAUGAAAAAAGAAA